rnacentral:rRNA from 1 species
CCAUAUGCAGAGUUCUCUUACAACAAUAGUUACCAAACCAGUUUAAAGAUGGCCCCUUUCGAAGCAUUGUAUGGAAGGAGGUGCAGGACACCGUUAUCGUGGGAUGAAGUUGGAGACCGCCAGUUGUUUGGACCUGACUUGAUUAAAGAGUCUGAACAGAAGGUGAAGUUGAUUCGCGAUAGGCUCAAGGUAGCCCAGUCCAGACAGAAAAGUUAUGCAGAUUCUAAAUGCAAGGAAACAGUUUACGAAGUCGGGGAUAGAGCUUAUCUUCGAGUAUCUCCACUUCAGGGAACAAAGCGUUUUGGAGUUAAAGGGAAGUUAGCGCCAUGA